rnacentral:rRNA from 1 species
UGCGAUAAUUAUACCAACAUUAACGCAUCAGAUCCAUCAAAACUUUGCAACUAAACGUGUUUGGACUAGAGUAGCAGUACUAAAUUGACUGACCAUUCGAAAAGUUUCUAUACAAGUGUUGCAC